ensembl:rRNA 5S_rRNA 5S ribosomal RNA
CAGGUUCCAUUGCAGCCUGAGGUCACCCCAUCCCAGAAGCUAAGUAGGGUUGGGCCUGACUGUGUGACUUGGAUGGUGGGCCACCAGGGGAGACCAGAGGCUGGAGACUUUU